UGGUGAAUAUUGCACAAUGGGCGCAAGCCUGAUGCAGCCAUGCCGCGUGUAUGAAGAAGGCCUUCGGGUUGUAAAGUACUUUCAGCGGGGAGGAAUGGAGUAAAGUUAAUACCUUUGCUCAUUGACGUUACCCGCAGAAGAAGCACCGGCUAACUCCGUGCCAGCAGCCGCGGUCAUACGGAGGGUGCAAGCGUUAAUCGGAAUUACUGGGCGUAAAGCGCACGCAGGCGGUUUGUUAAGUCAGAUGUGAAAUCCCCGGGCUCAACCUGGGAACUGCAUCUGAUACUGGCAAGCUUGAGUCUCGUAGAGGGGGGUAGGAUUCAAGGUGUAGCGGUGAAAUGCGUAGAGAUCUGGAGGAAUACCGGUGGCGAAGGCGGCCCCCUGGACGAAGACUGACGCUCAGGUGCGAAAGCGUGGGGAGCAAACAGG
rnacentral:rRNA from 1 species